rnacentral:rRNA from 1 species
GAUCAUGGCUCAGGAUGAACGCUGGCGGCGUGCUUAACACAUGCAAGUCGAACGGAAAGGCCCUGCUUGCAGGGUACUCGAGUGGCGAACGGGUGAGUAACACGUGGGUGAUCUGCCCUGUACUUUGGGAUAAGCCUGGGAAACUGGGUCUAAUACCGAAUAUGACCACUUCUUGGAUGGGGUGGUGGAAAGCUUUUGCGGUAUGGGAUGAGCUCGCGGCCUAUCAGCUUGUUGGUGGGGUAA